rnacentral:rRNA from 1 species
AGUGAACGCUGGCGGUAGGCCUAACACAUGCAAGUCGAACGGCAGCACAGGAGAGCUUGCUCUCUGGGUGGCGAGUGGCGGACGGGUGAGGAAUACAUCGGAAUCUACUCUGUCGUGGGGGAUAACGUAGGGAAACUUACGCUAAUACCGCAUACGACCUACGGGUGAAAGCAGGGGACCUUCGGGCCUUGCGCGAUUGAAUGAGCCGAUGUCGGAUUAGCUCGUUGGCGGGGUAAAGGCCCACCAAGGCGACGAUCCGUAGCUGGUCUGAGAGGAUGAGCAGCGACACUGGAACUGAGACACUGUCCAGACUCCUACGGGAGGCAGCAGUGGGGAAUAUUGGAGAAUGGGCGCAAGCCUGAUCCAGCCAUACCGCGUGGGUGAAGAAGGCCUUCGGGUUGUAAAGCCCUUUUGUUGGGAAAGAAAUCCAGCUGGCUAAUACCCGGUUGGGAUGACGGUACCCAAAGAAUAAGCACCGGCUAACUUCGUGCCAGCCGCCGCGGUAA